UGGGGGAUAUUGCACAAUGGGCGAAAGCCUGAUGCAGCGACGCCGCGUAGGGGAUGAAGGCCUUCGGGUUGUAAACUUCUUUUGCUCUGAACAAGGCGCACCAUGGGGUGUGUUGAGUGUAGGGGUUGAUUAGCGCCGGCUAACUACGUGCCAGCAGCCGCGGUAAUACGUAGGGCGCGAGCGUUGUCCGGAAUUAUUGGGCGUAAAGGGCUUGUAGGUGGCUGGUUGCGUCUGUCGUGAAAGCUCAUGGCUUAACUGUGGGUUUGCGGUGGGUACGGGCUGGCUUGAGUGCAGUAGGGGAGGCUGGAAUUCCUGGUGUAGCGGUGGAAUGCGCAGAUAUCAGGAGGAAUACCGGUGGCGAAGGCGGGUCUCUGGGCUGUUACUGACACUGAGGAGCGAAAGCAUGGGGAGCGAACAGG
rnacentral:rRNA from 1 species